GGAGGUGCAGAGGGACAUGAGACUUGUCCCCUACAAGAUUGUCAACAAGGAGGGCAAGCCUUACAUUCAGGUCAAGAUCAAGGAUGGGGAGACCAAGGUCUUCAGCCCUGAGGAGGUCAGUGCUAUGAUUCUUGGAAAGAUGAAGGAGACUGCUGAGGCAUACCUUGGCAAGAAGAUCAAUGACGCCGUCGUCACUGUUCCUGGUUAGUAAUGGUGUCAUUCUGUUGCUGACUUGAACUGUUGAUUCUAUGGAUUGUCAUUGCUCACUUCUAUUUGUUCCUGUUUUCAGCGUACUUCAAUGACGCGCAGAGGCAGGCGACCAAGGAUGCUGGUGUGAUUGCUGGCCUCAAUGUGGCUAGGAUCAUCAAUGAGCCCACUGCUGCUGCUAUUGCCUACGGUUUGGACAAGAGGGGUGGUGAGAAGAACAUCCUGGUGUUUGACCUUGGUGGUGGUACUUUU
rnacentral:lncRNA from 1 species